GCCAGGCAUGGUGGGUGUGCCUGUAAUCCCAGCUACUUGGGAGGCUGAGGCAGGAGAAUUGCUCGAACCCGGGAGGCAGAGGUUGCCGUGAGCCAAGAUCGUGCCACUGCACUCCAGCCUGGGUGACAGAGCAAGACUCUGUCUCAA
rnacentral:SRP_RNA from 1 species